rnacentral:lncRNA from 1 species
GGGAGUUGUUGAAGGUGCAGCAUUCCGUGGCUCCCGGUGGGAUGAUGGGGCUGGGGGGCACGGAGUUGUAGCCACUGAAGCAGUAGGCCCUGGGGGAGCUCAGGGUCACAUCCCUCGUGCUGUUGGUCAGUUGGAUCUCCACGCUCCGAAAGGCCAUCCCAGCAGCUCCUGCAACGGGAUCACUGUCCCCAUUGUGCCCCC